UGGGGAAUUUUGGACAAUGGGGGCAACCCUGAUCCAGCCAUGCCGCGUGCGGGAAGAAGGCCUUCGGGUUGUAAACCGCUUUCGGACAGAAAGAAAUCGCCAUCUCUAACAUAGGUGGUGGAUGACGGUACUGUAAGAAGAAGCACCGGCUAACUACGUGCCAGCAGCCGCGGUAAUACGUAGGGUGCGAGCGUUAAUCGGAAUUACUGGGCGUAAAGCGUGCGCAGGCGGAUAUUAAGUCAGAUGUGAAAUCCCCGGGCUUAACCUGGGAAUUGCAUUUGAAACUGGAUGUCUAGAGUGCGUCAGAGGGGGGUGGAAUUCCACGUGUAGCAGUGAAAUGCGUAGAGAUGUGGAGGAACACCGAUGGUGAAGGCAGCCCCCUGGGAUGACACUGACGCUCAUGCACGAAAGCGUGGGGAGCAAACA
rnacentral:rRNA from 1 species